rnacentral:rRNA from 1 species
ACGGGCUCUUCGGAGCUAGUGGCGGACGGGUGAGUAACGCGUGAGAAUCUGGCUUCAGGUUCGGGACAACAGUUGGAAACGGCUGCUAAUACCGGAUGUGCCUUAGGGUGAAAGAUUUAUCACCUGAAGAUGAGCUCGCGUCUGAUUAGCUAGUAGGUGUGGUAAGAGCGCACCUAGGCGACGAUCAGUAGCUGGUCUGAGAGGAUGAUCAGCCACACUGGGACUGAGACACGGCCCAGACUCCUACGGGAGGCAGCAGUGGGGAAUUUUCCGCAAUGGGCGAAAGCCUGACGGAGCAAUACCGCGUGAGGGAGGAAGGCUCUUGGGUUGUAAACCUCUUUUCUCAGGGAAGAAAAAAUGACGGUACCUGAGGAAUAAGCAUCGGCUAACUCCGUGCCAGCAGCCGCGGUAAUACGGAGGAUGCAAGCGUUAUCCGGAAUGAUUGGGCGUAAAGCGUCCGCAGGUGGCAAUGUAAGUCUGCUGUCAAAGCGUCUGGCUCAACCAGAUAAAGGCAGUGGAAACUACAUAGCUAGAGUAAGGUAGGGGUAGAGGGAAUUCCUGGUGUAGCGGUGAAAUGCGUAGAGAUCAGGAAGAACACCGGUGGCGAAAGCGCUCUGCUGGACCUAAACUGACACUGAGGGACGAAAGCUAGGGGAGCGAAUGGGAUUAGAUACCCCAGUAGUCCUAGCCGUAAACGAUGGAUACUAGGCGUUGC